UACAGAGGUCUCAAGCGUUGUUCGGAUUCAUUGGGCGUAAAGGGCGCGUAGGCGGGCUGCCAAGUUCGGGGUGAAAUCCUCCCGCUCAACGGGAGAACUGCCCCGAAUACUGGCGGUCUCGAGGGAGGUAGGGGCGUGCGGAACUAUGGGUGGAGCGGUGAAAUGCGUUGAUAUCCAUAGGAACUCCGGUGGCGAAGGCGGCACGCUGGACCUCUUCUGACGCUGAGGCGCGAAAGCCAGGGGAGCGAACGGG
rnacentral:rRNA from 1 species